rnacentral:rRNA from 1 species
AGCAGCCGCGGUAAUUCCAGCUCCAAUAGCGUAUAUUAAAGUUGUUGCAGUUAAAAAGCUCGUAGUUGAAUUUCGGGAUCAAUACGUCGGUCGUGCCUCUGGUAUGUACUGGCGUUAUUGAUUUCUCCUUUCUGAUGAACCAUGAUGUCAUUAAUUUGGUGUCGUGGGAAGUCAGGACUGUUACUUUGAAAAAUUAGAGUGUUUAAAGCAGGCAUACGCUUGAAUACAUUAGCAUGGAAUAAUGAAAUAGGACGUUCGAACCUAUUUUGUUGGUUUCUAGGAUCAACGUAAUGAUUAAUAGGGAUAGUUGGGGGCAUUAGUAUUCAAUUGUCAGAGGUGAAAUUCUUGGAUUUAUUGAAGACUAACUACUGCGAAAGCAUUUGCCAAGGAUGUUUUCAUUAAUCAAGAACGAAAGUUAGGGGAUCGAAGACGAUCAGAUACCGUCGUAGUCUUAACCAUAAACUAUGCCGACUAGGGAUCGGAUGAUGUUAAUUUUUAAUGACUCAUUC